GACGAACGCUGGCGGCGUGCCUAACACAUGCAAGUCGAACGGGGCUCUUUGGAUCGAGACUUCGGUCAAGUGAAUCUGAGCUUAGUGGCGGACGGGUGAGUAACGCGUGAGCAACCUGCCUUUCAGAGGGGGACAACAGUUGGAAACGACUGCUAAUACCGCAUAAUGUGUUUGGGGUCGAUCCCUGAAAUACCAAAGAUUUAUCGCUGAAAGAUGGGCUCGCGUCUGAUUAGCUAGUUGGUGGGGUAACGGCCUACCAAGGCGACGAUCAGUAGCCGGACUGAGAGGUUGAACGGCCACAUUGGGACUGAGAUACGGCCCAG
rnacentral:rRNA from 1 species